rnacentral:rRNA from 1 species
UACGUAGGGUGCAAGCGUUGUCCGGAAUUUAUUGGGCGUAAAGAGCUCGUAGGCGGUCUGUCGCGUCUGCUGUGAAAACUCGGGGCUUAACCCCGGCCUGCAGUGGGUACGGGCAGACUAGAGUGCGGUAGGGGAGACUGGGAAUUCCUGGUGUAGGCGGUGAAAAUGCGCAGAUAUCAGGAAGAACACCAAUGGCGAAGGCAGCUCUCU